UACGUAGGGUGCAAGCGUUGUCCGGAAUUAUUGGGCGUAAAGAGCUUGUAGGCGGUUUGUCGCGUCUGCUGUGAAAUUUCGGGGCUCAACCCCGAACUUGCAGUGGGUACGGGCAGACUAGAUUGUGGUAGGGGAGACUGGAAUUCCUGGUGUAGCGGUGAAAUGCGCAGAUAUCAGGAGGAACACCGAUGGCGAAGGCAGGUCUCUGGGCCACUACUGACGCUGAGAAGCGAAAGCAUGGGGAGCGAACAGG
rnacentral:rRNA from 1 species